rnacentral:rRNA from 1 species
CACGUAGGGGGCGAGCGUUGUCCGGAUUUAUUGGGCGUAAAGAGCGUGUAGGCGGCCAGGUAGGUCAGCUGUGAAAACUCGAGGCUCAACCUCGAGAUGUCGGCUGAAACCAUCUGGCUAGAGUCCGGAAGAGGAGAAUGGAAUUCCCGGUGUAGCGGUGAAAUGCGCAGAUAUCGGGAAGAACACCCGUGGCGAAGGCGGUUCUCUGGGACGGUACUGACGCUGAGACGCGAAAGCGUGGGGAGCGAACAGG